CAGUCGCCACGGUAAUACGGAGGAUCCAAGCGUUAUCCGGAAUCAUUGGGUUUAAAGGGUCCGUAGGCGGUCUUGUAAGUCAGUGGUGAAAGCCCAUCGCUCAACGGUGGAACGGCCAUUGAUACUGCAGGACUUGAAUUAUUGGGAAGUAACUAGAAUAUGUAGUGUAGCGGUGAAAUGCUUAGAGAUUACAUGGAAUACCAAUUGCGAAGGCAGGUUACUACCAAUUGAUUGACGCUGAUGGACGAAAGCGUGGGUAGCGAACAGGAUUAGAGACCCCAGUAGUCCCUGUCUCUUAUAC
rnacentral:rRNA from 1 species